rnacentral:ribozyme from 14 species
CACGAACACGAAAAAAGAAAAGCUGCACUAAUAGAACACAAGCGGUGUAUAUACAUACUGUAUUUCUAUUUAUUUUGAUGUAUC